CCUAUCUCAUUUCUUCCACAAAAGAGUCAUCCAGGAGGAGGGGCUCUCAGUGUUCAUUCUUGUAGGAGACAGAAGUGAAGAGCAGCAAUAGAAACCCAGCUGCCACGCGAAGGUUGGGGCAGCUGAGAAGAUCCAGGCUGGCUGGAGCUUCAAAAAUAACUCCCUCUGCAUUGUCCAAAUUGAGCUUGGGGAAUUUUCUACAAUCAAAAGCAGCUGUGCCAUUCUGUUUACCUAUUAGGCUGAGUUCUCCAGGCUCAGAGCCGAAAUCGUGGAGCCUGGAAAGUCCUGCUCAGAGCGGCCCUCCUUUCCUGGGACCAAGCAAAUCAAUUGUUGGCAUUGGGUUUUGGAAUACUCAUGACCCCUCUGGGGUGAAGGUGAGGUGAUGUCAAGCAGAGACAGUUGUCCUAGUCCCUGGCAGCUGCUGCACGG
rnacentral:lncRNA from 1 species